rnacentral:lncRNA from 1 species
CUGAACCAUCCGCGGUGAGAGGGAGGGGGUGUAAGAGGAUGGAGCUCUCAUCUAACAGACCAGGAAGGAAGUCUUGGCCAGAUAACAUCUCAUCUCGAUAAAUAAAGAAGUGGCAAUAAUGUAGAUGUAUUGCUUAGCGAUAGGGAAGCAGCAUCCAGAAGAAUUAAACACUGUAGAUGCUAAAAACUCAGACUUGCUCCAAGGUUUAAGUCAAAGGAAAAGUUUGAAUUGAAGACAGGAGGGAGCAGCAGGAUCCUGGCUCUCACAGUCCCGUGUUCAGCACCAGGGUGGAUCCAUGUAUGUCUCUCUUUGGGUUCUCUUUGUUACGAAGGUUCUCUGGGGUUGUGGACUGCAUGCUGGUUAUCCUUUGCUUUAUGUCUAAUAGCUAUUCGUGAGUGAGUACAUACCAUGUUUGUUUUUUUGGGGGGGUGAGUUACCUCAUUCAGGAUGUUUUUUUCUAGUUCUAUCCAUUUGCCUGCAAAUUUCAAGAUGUCAUUGUUUUUUUACGGUGAGUAAUACUCCAUUGUGCAAAUAUACCACAUUUUCUUUAUCCAUUCUUUGGUUGAGGGGAAAUGGCUGAAAGACACUUAAGGAAAUGCUCAACAUCCUUAGUCAUGAGAGAAAUGAAAAUCAAAACAACUCUGAGAUACCAUCUUAAACUGAUCAGAAUGGCUAAGAUCAAAAAAACACCGAUGACUGUUUAUGCUGGAGAGGAUGUGGAGAAAGGGGAACACUGCUUCAUUUCUGGUGGGUGUGCAAACUUGUACAGCCACAUUAGAAAUUAGAAUGGUAGUUUCUCAGAAAAUUGGGAAUCAAUCUACUUCAAGACCCAGCAAUACCACUUUUGGGCAAAUACCCAAAGGAUACACACUCGAACCACAAGGACAUUUGCUCAACUAUGUUCAUAGCAACAUUAUUUGUAAUAGCCAGAAAAGGGCUUGGUUUUAUCUAAGACAAGGUCUCACUGUGUAGCCCUGGCUAGCCUGGAACUUACUAUGUAGAUCAGGUUAGCCUGGAGUUCACAGUGUUGAUAUUAAAGGCAUGUGCCAGUACACUGGGUCGUGGACACUCUUAUAAUCAUGUGUCCAUAUGACAUUGGCACACACUUGUCAAAAAAUGUAGACUAUAAAAACAUAGGGUGAAAAUUAUUUUUAAAAACUGUAAAAGGAAAAAGAGGGUUGGGGAUAUGAAUCCGUAGGUAAAGUGCUUGCAACACAGCAUGAAUUUGAUUCCUCCAGAACCUACAGUUUUUUUUUUUUUUUUUUUUUUUUAAAGCUAGUAUUGGUCAACUGGCAGGAUAAAGGCACUUGCUGCCAAGCCUGAUAACUGGAGUUUAAUUCCCAGAACCCACAUGGAAGAAAGAAACAAUCAACUCCUCCAAGUUGACCUCUGACCUCCUUAUGUGCCCUGUGGCAUACACAUGUCCCCACACAAUAAAUAAAUUAAAAUGUAAUAAUAAGAAAGCCCGGUGAGGUGGUGAAUUCUUGUAGUCCUGGCACUGAGGAGGUGAAGACAGGAGGACCCUGAGGCUCACUGACCAGCCAGUGCAAUUGAAUUGGGGAGCUCCAGGCUCAGUGAGGGACCUUGUCUCAAAAACUAAGAUGGAUGACAACUGAGCAAGACCCCUCAAGGUCAGAGUUUGGCCUCUACAUGCAUAAGCACAUAUGUGCAUGCACACAUGUACACAUACAAAGAAAGAAGAGGAAAGAAAAAGUGAGGGUGUGGUCAAUGGCAGAACACUUGCCUAUCACAAGUGAGAUCUGGCUUAGUCCUCAGCAGCAUAGAUGGGAUAUUUUCACCUCUAAUGUAAUAGACCAUUGACCCAAGAAACUACAUGUAUGCAGUAUUCUAAGUUACCAUUCCCUUCUUGAGCCAUGGUGCAUGCUAAUAAAUUAUUUACACCUUUAUCUUUUUUUUUUUUUACUACAUCCUGCAAUUAACCUAUCUACUUUCCUUUCCGUUUCUUCUUGCUCUUUGCAAACAUUGUAGAAAUGAUUUCUCUUUAAACUUGAAGAUGAUUCAACCAUGUAUGGAACGUUUCUUUCUGAUGGACUGUUAUGUGAAACAGGGUAGUUUCCCGUAGUCAGCUGGAUUUAAAAUGUGCCUGAGAUAAAUACACAGAGAGGAAAGUGGACACUGGAGGUUGAGGAGUAACUGUCAUGGGUGAGCACUGUUUUAUAGGGAGAUGACAACUUGUGGGAGUCAGCUUUUUCCUCCUACUGUAUAGGACCUGGGGGUCAAACUCAGGCCAUCAGGAUUGGCAGCAAGCACCUUUACUCACUGAGCCACCCUGAAGCCCAUUUUUAGCCUCUCUCUCUCUCACUCACUCACUCACUCACUCACUCACUCACUCACUCCCCGGAGCUGAGGUGACAAGCACACACCCACCAUACCCAGAUUUUCUAUUCUGUGAGUUCAAAGGGAUGCAAAUCAAGUUUUUGUGGGGCAGUGAGAGGGCUCAAAAGUUAAAAAUACCUGUUGCUGCACCUGAUGACCUGAGUUCAAUUCCCCAGAACAACACAUUAGGGGAACACAGACUCAUCAGGUUGUCCUCUGACUUCCACACACUUGUAUCCUUCUUCAUGUGCCCCCUUCAGUUUUAUACAAAAUAGGUACAACAGGUUUUUAUUUUGAAUUUGUUUGUUUGUUUGUUUGUUUUAAAUAGUCUUUGCACUUUCAAAGCAAGCACUUGACUUAAUGGGCCGUCACCUCUGCUGGCCCCUCUUACUCAUUUUCAAGUACACACAGCUCAACAUUCCUCUGCUUAAAUCAAGAAGUAAAUUUUAAGUAUUACUCCAAUGUAAUUGAAAUUUCCUAUACUCACAGCUUCUUUUCCUUGCACAUGGUUUUUAAAAAAAACUAUAGUUUUGUUUCUCCUUUUUUAUGCAAAGCCAAUUUUUUUUUUCACCUCUUCCAGGUUCAUCUUCUAAAAAUCCCUUCAUGAGGGAAUUCAUUACUAAGGAGCUUAGGACUUAAUAAACAAAACUAGUUUAUGAAAAUGAAGGUCACAAUUAAACUAGGGGAAAAUACAGAUUUUCUUCACACAUUUAUUACAAUAAAACAUCUAUUACGCAUUUGGCUGCUAAAAUUAGUAAUUAAUGUCUACUCGGCAUUUCUUUCUUUGGGGGAACUUUCUAGAACUUCUGCUUUUUUUGAGUUUCAGUUAGAAGCAUGUUGAUUUUUAUUUUGACACAUGACAUCCAUGAAAAGUGCUUUCUCCCUGUUCGUCAUUAUCACUUCACUAUUGAUUUUAUGAAUUAAAGGUAGUUGGCCUCUACUGUCUGCUCUCAGUAAAAUUCCAAGAUAUUGGGCAGUCCUGCCAAAAAUCAUUGCUGGAGUUGUUAGGGUCAGAGCCUGGCCCCUGGCAGUCCUAUCAAGCUAGACUCAGCUGUCCAUCCUCAACAGACCAAAUAAGCAGGUAAGUGGUAGUGAAAAGCUGAGAAAGGAAAUUUACUCAUUGUGGUCACAUUAGAAAGACGAAUAAAGAGGUCCAGUGAUCCACCCACAAGGCCAUCUUUGGGGACUUGACCUGAGGGUCAGUUUUAAAUAGAGGGUAAAAGGUGUGCACAGUUAAUCAGUCCUGGAUAAGGUGUGGUCCUUCUCCCCACUAACCCAUUGACAUCUCAGCUCUAGUUUGCUUGUGUUUGCAAGGCAGUCUAAUAAAUUAUCAGAACAGCAAGAAACCUCUUUCCAGGAGACAGUUCCUUCUCCAGCUGGCACCAGAGUUUAGCCUUUCCCUUCUCCUAGCAUGAGAUUCCCUGGGAAAUUCCAAUUUCUUGGGGGGUCACUAUCUUAAUGGCCUGAUAGCCAAAGCAAGGGGGUAUACAUGUCUCUGUAGCAUAUCCUCAUUUCUGACAUUAGAAAUAAUGUUAGGUUCAGAAGUUGAUGUCAAAUUCAGGUCUCACUCUUACAGAACAUGUGAUCUUGGGCCAGUAAGGACAAUACUCUAAACUUGGUUUCUCCAUUUGUUAAUUGAUAAGACUAAAUUAGAACCCAUGGCUUUGUUCAUUUCGCACAGCUAUAACAGAACCCUACAGACUGGGUGAUUUAUAAUGAACAGAAUUUUUUUCUCACAGUUCUGGACUGGGAAGUCCAAGAUCAAGGCACCCUUAGGUUUGACACUGGGGGAGAGGACUGGGUCUUUUUCAAGAUGAAAUCUAGAAGCUGCAUCUCCAGAGGGGAUGGAUGUUGUUCCUUACAGGGAAGAGCAGCUGGAGCAGAAGACCCAUCCCAAUAAGCCCUGUCACACCAACAUUAUUCUGUUCGUGAGAUGAACACCUCCUUUUGUCCUACCUUAGGGAUUAACUGGUCAACGCACGAAACUGGAGAGGACAAAGAGAUUCAGACUAAGGGCUGGGAAUGCAGCUUAGUUGACAUUGUGGUCACAUUAGAAAGACGAAUAAAGAGGUCCAGUGAUCCACCCACAAGGCCAUCUUUGGGGACUUGACCUGAGGGUCAGUUUUAAAUAGCGGGUAAAAGGUGUGCACAGCGUAGCAUGUACAAGGACCUGGGUUUAAGCCCUAGUGCCAGAUAAACCACGAUUGGUAGCUCAUAUCUUUAACGCCACCAUUUGGAGGUGAAGACAGAAGAACCAGAAGUUUAAGGUUAUCCUCAUGCUACAGGGUGAGUCUGAGGCCAGCCUAGUUUAGAGAUAUGAGAGUCAAAGGAAAAAAGAAAGGAAGGAAGGAAAAUAGAGAGAGAAGGAAGAAAGGAGGGAGGGAGGAAGAUUCAAACUGCAGCAACUCAUUUCAUUGUGUUGUGAAAAUUUAAAAAAAAACUAAAACAUGUAACAUUAGUAGCUUAAUAUUUGACAAUAAUACGCAUCAGUAAAUCAACAUUAUGACAGAUAUUUUUAAGGUCCUUUGAACUGGGCGUGGUCUCACACACCUAUGAUCCUGACACUCAGGAGUCAAAGGCAGAAGGAUUGCCCAGGAAUUCAAGGCCAGGCAGGGGUACAGAGUGAGAACUUAACUAAAAACAACAACAACAAAACUUGGCUACAAAGAAGAGUGAUUUAUUAAACUGAUGGAUAGGAGUAUUGUCAGGACAUUCAAGGGAAUAAAAAUUUUAGAACCCUCCAGAGAAAUCUGGAAAAAUGAGAGUCAGGUCUCUCCCCACCCCAAUAUGAUUCCUCCUCUAGAACUGUAAGUCAAAACAAACUCUUCCAUAAGUUGUUUCUUCUUUACGUUGCUUUGGCCAUGGUGUUUUAUCAAGCAUCAAAAAUUAACUGCUACACCAGAUAACCUGCAAGCUGGGUGGGUGGAGUAGGACACCAUAAAGCAGAUGUCUUGAUGCUUUCUUAGAAUUCUACCUACCACAGGAGGGGACUCUAUCCUGGUUUGAUUUUUUUCUGUGAUAAAACACUGACUAAAAGAAACUUGGGUGGGGGGAGGAUUUAUUAUAUCUUACAGGUUAGAGUCUAUCAUCAAGGGAAGCCAAGGCUGGAGGUCAAGAAAAGAACCUGGAGCAGUGGCCUUUGCUCUUAUCAUGCAGCCUGAGGAGGACCAGGUGGGCAAUCCAACAGGAUGAACCGGCAUGCAGCUAAGAUUUCCUGAAUGAUUGCAAGACUUCUUCCUGCAAUGGGAAGUGAACAGAGACCCUGGGAAGUAUCUUGAGCAUAUAUGAAACCUCAAAGGCCACCACCACAGUGACACACUUCCUCUAAUAAGACCACAUCUACUCCAACAAGGCCACACCUCCUAAUAGUGCCAUUGCCUUUGGGAGCCAUUUUCUUUCAAG